GGACCCGUAGCUCAGCUGGAUAGAGCGCUGCCCUCCGAAGGCAGAGGUCGUGAGUUCGAAUCUCGCCGGGUGCGCCA
rnacentral:tRNA from 3 species